rnacentral:rRNA from 1 species
CGAUCGAGCCGAACUGAGUCCCUUCGGGGAUGAUGAUUGGUGACGGAGCGGCGGACGGGUGAGUAACGCGUGGCUAACCUACCCUCUUGACGGGGACAACCACCCGAAAGGGCGGCUAAUACCCGAUAUUGUCUGGAACCGAUGGGUUCCUUUCCAAAGGCGGUCAUGCCGCCGCAAGGGGAUGGGGCUGCGUCCUAUUAGCUAGUUGGUGAGGUAACGGCCCACCAAGGCUCCGAUGGGUAGCUGGUCUGAGAGGACGACCAGCCACAUUGGGACUGAGAUACGGCCCAGACUCCUACGGGAGGCAGCAGUGGGGAAUCUUGGCCAAUGGACGAAAGUCUGAGCCAGCGACACCGCGUGGGGGAUGAAGGCCUUCGGGUUGUAAACCUCUUUUCUGGGGAAAGAAUAAGGACGGGAGGAAAUGCCCGCCCGAUGACGGUACUCCAGGAAUAAGCAUCGGCUAACUCUGUGCCAGCAGCCGCGGUAAGACAGAGGAUGCAAGCGUUAUCCGGAAUUACUGGGUGUAAAGGGCGUCUAGGCGGUUCGGUAAGUCGUUUGUGAAAUCCCUCGGCUCAACCGAGGAAGGUCUUGCGAUACUGCCGGGCUUGGGUGCAGGAGAGGAGGGUGGAACUCACAGAGUAGCGGUGGAAUGCGUAGAUACUGUGAGGUACCCCGAUGGCGAAGGCAACCCUCUGGCCUGCUACCGACGCUGAAGCGCGAAAGCGUGGGGAGCAAAGGGGAUUAGAUACCCCCGUAGUCCACGCCCUAAACAAUGUUCACUUGGUGUCGGCCGCUCAUACUGGUCGGUGCCGAAGCUAACGCGUUAAGUGAACCGCCUGAGGAGUGCGGCCGCAAGGCUAAAACUCAAAUGAAUUGACGG